rnacentral:rRNA from 1 species
CUUUUUGGUGGGUUUCUUCCUUCCUUCUAUCUGAUGAGGACUUCAUUCAUUAUUGCAGUAAGAUGAUGGCAUAAUGUUGCUUUUUUUCUUCUAGUCAGACGUUGUCCAUUAUUAAAAAAGUUUCUAAGUCUGUACCCGGCCCGAAUUUAAUUUUUUGCUAUAAGCCAUUACUUGAUUUUGUUGUUAUGCGAAUGCGCGAAUUCUAUUUCGUGCUCAUACCUAAGUCUGAUGGUAUUAUGACUCACUGUCGUCUUCAUUCCUCAUGCUCUUUGAUAUCUCUUGUGAAUAUAACGCGUACAUUAUUUUUUUAGUUUUACAUCUAGGACCCUCUCAGGACCCGUCCCGAAACAUCGACCUUGAAUUCUAACUUGUAUGAUUAUUAAUGCCUAUUAUUAAAACCUAUUUGCCAAAUGAAAUUAAUUUGUUAAUGGAAUUACUAAUGGAUUAUUCCCUCCUUUCCAUCCCCGGGUAUCUUCUUGUACGUACUGCAAUCUCCGUCGUGUGUACUACUAAGAUAUACCGUGAGCAUACUAUCUGUGAUCCGAAUGAUGGCGAACUAUGCCUGAUCAGGUUGAAGUCAGGUUAAACCCUGAUGGAAGACCGUAUAAUUCUGAUAUGCAAAUAGAUUGUCACAGUUGGCUAUUGGUGCGAAAGAUCAAUCGU